rnacentral:rRNA from 1 species
GUCGAGGGGUAACAGAGGUAGCUUGCUACUUGCUGACGACCGGCGCACGGGUGCGUAACGCGUAUAGAAUCUACCUUGUACUAGGGGAUAGCCUUUGGAAACGAAGAUUAAUACCCUAUAGUAAGUAUUUAUGGCAUCAUUUAUACUUUAAAGGUUACGGUACAAGAUGACUAUGCGUCCUAUUAGUUUGUUGGUGAGGUAACGGCUCACCAAGACUUCGAUAGGUAGGGGCCCUGAGAGGGGGAUCCCCCACACUGGUACUGAGACACGGACCAGACUCCUACGGGAGGCAGCAGUGAGGAAUAUUGGACAAUGGAGGCAACUCUGAUCCAGCCAUGCCGCGUGCAGGAUGACGGCCCUAUGGGUUGUAAACUGCUUUUAUGUAGGAAGAAACACUCUCACGUGUGAGAGCUUGACGGUACUACAAGAAUAAGGACCGGCUAACUCCGUGCCAGCAGCCGCGGUAAUACGGAGGGUCCAAGCGUUAUCCGGAAUCAUUGGGUUUAAAGGGUCCGUAGGCGGGCUAUUAAGUCAGAGGUGAAAGUUUGCAGCUCAACUGUAAAAUUGCCUUUGAAACUGGUAGUCUUGAAUUAUUAUG